rnacentral:rRNA from 1 species
AGUGAACGCUGGCGGUAGGCCUAACACAUGCAAGUCGAACGGCAGCACAGUAAGAGCUUGCUCUUACGGGUGGCGAGUGGCGGACGGGUGAGGAAUACAUCGGAAUCUACUUUUUCGUGGGGGAUAACGUAGGGAAACUUACGCUAAUACCGCAUACGACCUACGGGUGAAAGCAGGGGAUCUUCGGACCUUGCGCGAUUGAAUGAGCCGAUGUCGGAUUAGCUAGUUGGCGGGGUAAAGGCCCACCAAGGCGACGAUCCGUAGCUGGUCUGAGAGGAUGGUCCACCACACUGGGACCUGAACACCGUUCAAGCUCCUUACGGAAGGCAGCGGGGGGGAUUAUGGACCAUGGGGGGAAACCCUGACCAACCAUACCGCGUGGGUGAAGAAGGCCUUCGGGUUGUAAAGCCCUUUUGUUGGGAAAGAAAAGCAGCAGGUUAAUACCCCGCUGUUCUGACGGUACCCAAAGAAUAAGCACCGGCUAACUUCGUG